GGUUUAGGUCGAGGAAAGAGGGAGCAGUAUGAGGGUCAGUAUGAGGGUUUAGGGUUUAGGUCGAGGACAGAGGAGGCAGUAUGAGGGUUUAGGGAUUAGGUCAAGGACAGGAGGACAGAGAAAGCAGUAUGAGGGUUUAGGGUUUAGGGUUUAGGUCGAGGACAGAGGAGGCAGUAUGAGGGUUUAGGGUUUAGGUCGAGGAAAGAGGGAGCAGUAUGAGGGUCAGUAUGAGGGUUUAGGGUUUAGGUCGA